GACAGAGGGUGCAAACGUUGCUCGGAAUUACUGGGCGUAAAGCGCGUGUAGGCGGACGUGUAAGUCAGGUGUGAAAUCCCCGGGCUCAACCCGGGAACUGCACUUGAAACUGCGCGUCUUGAGUACUGGAGAGGGUAGUGGAAUUCCUGGUGUAGAGGUGAAAUUCGUAGAUAUCAGGAGGAACACCGGGUGGCGAAGGCGGCUACCUGGACAGUCACUGGACGCUGAGACGCGAAAGCGUGGGGAGCAAACAGG
rnacentral:rRNA from 1 species